CAGGUUACCCAGAGUAGCUGUGGCUGCCCCAUCCUUGGUAGUGCUGAGGCCCAGAUUGGAUGGGGCUUUGAGUAACCUGGUCGAGUGGAAGGUGUUGGAACUAGGUGGUCUUUAAGGUCCCUUCUAACUCGAACCAUUCUGUCAUUCUAUGAUAGUAUAUGAUAUGAAAUAAAGCUGCAUUCUGUUGCAAUUCAGACCUGCCUGCUUCAGUGGAGGAAAGCUUUGCACCAAGUGCAGAACUGGGUGACAAUGUGGAAGGAUCAGCCACAGCUUUCUACUCUUCCAAGUGAACUUUUGGCUCUGGUUCUUCUCCUGAGUCUGCCUGCUUUGUGCUGUGUUGGUGGAAAACUGUCUGGGAGUUUUCCGUGUGAGACAUCCCUGUAACAGGUUUCUGGGUGGAGCACUUCAGCCAAUCACAUUUAUUUAAGAAGAUCUCUCAGACAUUUGAACUUGACCCUAUUUCCUGGCAAUAACACCUGGCAAGAGAGCUAGGUCACCCCAGACUCCUGAGAUUGUCUUGAGGCUUUCUCCUCCACUGCGUCCUAGAUACUCAUCUCCAGUCACCGGGAAUGGGUUACAAACUGCGGUGUGAAAAGCGAAGGAGAUUCGGGAGAUCGGGACGGUUCUGUGUUCAAACGCUGCCAUCAAGCGGACAGACACAGCAGAGGGCUGAACUGCUGUAAGGACGUCGCUUUGAAAGAGGAAAGUGGAUGGAGAGACGAAGAAUAAAACCGUGUUUUUGCUCCAGGCUUCAUGUUAUAAAAACAUUUUUGGUCUAAUAAACACUUCUCACUAAGCCUAGCUUAUCCCUCUUCUAUAUUAUAUCACUUUCAUAUUUUAGCACCUUUGAAGUUGCUCAGACUUGACUUUCAGAGAUCAUAAAAAUUUCAGAAGGCUGCUCUGUGCCUGUAGAAUUUGUCUCGAUUUCUAGGGACAAGGAUCACAUUCUUCAUUGUGUACCCAUGGACUUGUCUGAGACCUCAGAUAUGAACUUCAGCACAGCUUCCCCAUCUCAAGGAUCUACAGGGGACUUAAAUGCAAGAAAAAUUAUCAUUUUGAGUUUUAGAGCUAAUAACCAAAAAUUAAUUAACUCAAUCGUUCAUCAAAUCCCAGAUCAACAGUUCAGUUUAUAUUUGAAACUGAAACAUUCCCCUUUACAUGAAGUCUUAUUCCUCCUCUUGCAAAGUUUUAAAACAAAAUUCACCAUCAGCAUUUUAGAACGUACCUUCGUGUCCUUCAAGAAAAUUUAGAGAAACUUCAAAAUAUUACUUGAUGUUAAAAAGGGCAAAGUCACACUACUUUUUCUAGAUUUCUGUCAUUUAAUGGCCACAGAGAUGCAACAAAGCUGCCUUUUCUUUGUGGACCUCAAGUGCCAAUUCUAAUAUGGUUUGAGCAACUACAAAAACCUUCUCUUAAGUCACUUCUUUCACCUAAACCAGGAUAACUGGAUGUUUUCCUAUGCUGUGUGAUGUGACAGUGUGACUUCCAGGAACACAGGAUUUGUCUGUGCCUCAUUCAUAAGAAAUGCAUAGUAAAUGAGAUGUGUUUUGGAAAAUUCACAAUGUAUGUAUAGUCCAUGUGCAAUGAUUUCAUGUUCUCUGGAUGCGUAUGCAUGUAGUUCUGCCAGGAAGGUCCUGUAUUUAUAAAAACAAAAAGUGUUCCAUAUCUACAGCAAAUUGUUUUGCCCUUAAGGCUGUGAUAGUAAAUAAAUUUGCCAAGGCAAAUUUCAGAACUCGGAGAGGGAAUGACAUAGUUGUGGAAAGUAUUGCACUGGGCCAGUGCAGACUGCCCUGUUGUUUCCAGGGAUGGUUUGUACGUUCUCCUGUAGCCAGGUCCUUAACACUGCUUCACUCUCAAAAGCUGAAGGUCUGUUUUAAAUAGCAAUACUGUGGUCCACCUGGAUCUAAUCUUUCUUUGAAAACAGAACCUCAUGCUAUCAACCUAGAAGAGCAACUAGCUGGGCUGCUAUGGAUAUAUCAUCAGCAGAUGGUUUAGCACUUACAGAUGUAAUCCUCAUUGAUCCAGAGCAAUGCAUACAUUGUUGGUUUAUGGACCUAUAUCAACAAUGGCAGGAAAAAGAAAAACCAUGUACGUAUUCACCAUUCAGAUGUCCUUCUCCAGAAUUCAGUGAUUGUUCUUUCAUACAUUCCACUUUUUGCAGCAGACAGACCUCUACCCCUUCAUGGCUUUUUCCCCCUCCCUGGAAAAAAAACAAACCAACAUCUCCCCUCAAAAAAGCCCAAAACCAAAACUCACCCAAACAAGCUCAACACAAACAAACCAAACUGGAAAACCAUCCACGACCUGUCUCUAAAAACCAGAUAUUUGUGGAGCAUGUAUUUUUACUGAUUUUUGUCUGUUUGAUUUUGUUUGUGUGGUUGUCUGUUUGUUAGAAGAAAUGCACUGUGAUGGAGGAACUGCUCACUGGGUCACCAUGGCCAAAAUAAAGGUGACAGUUUAUAAACAUGAAUUAUAACUUAAUAAGUUUUGUAUGCUUAAAAUACAAAGCUUUGUUACUUAAAGCCUUGUUCUAUCCUGGAGCAGACCAAGCUGUAAGGAAUUAGGGAGCCUCUGCUCAAAGGUGGGGGCAAGGUGUACAGGUGGCUCAGGAAUUUAACCAUUGACUCCUAGCAGAUACCUGAAGUUGUAACUGGUUUUGAAUCGAAGCUGCAAGAUACCCAAUGGAGUUCUGCAUGUUUCUAGUUCUCUCCAAAUUGACCCUAACAUAUUUCUAAUAAUGUUAAAAUGCACAGUACUGAAUUAUAUGUUUAAAACAUAUUGGUUUAAAAGAAGUGUGUAAACUCCUGAGACAUAUGUUUCAUGGCUUGAAAUUCAACUCUGUUUACCCAGUUUUACAUUCAUCUGUGUUUCUAAGUCUUCUUCAAACUUCACUACAGCUGGCUGAAAAGUUGCUAGGUUUGAUAAAUGUUUGUCUUUCCAACAAGAACUUUGAGAAGGAGCAUCUUCUUAAUUUAAAAUUUUCACCGUUAUCUAGAAUUCAAGACUUUCCACAGUAGUAUCUGAAUAUGAUUUUUCUUAGCACUAUUUUGUAAUGGUGUUAUAUGUGCAAUUAUUAUCGGCACUACAGCAAACUUGCUAUAUAUUCAUAGCAAUUCAGAGAGAUGUUAACCAAAAAAAAAAAUCCUACUAUAAUGCCAUGUAUGUGCUUUAAGGCCUCUUUUAAUUGAGCAGCUGUUAAUGGAUUUGGAAAUAGCAUAAUUAUGAGAGCUGAGAAGAUACUGCUAAUCAUUCUUAUCUAGGGUGGCUGGGGAAAUAAAUUGUUACAUUAACUGCAGCUAAAGAACCUUUAGGCACUGCAGUUGGAAGUGAUUGGUGUUUUUGGUGUUUGUUUUUUUGGGGUUUGUUUUGUUUUGGUGGUUUUGUUUGUUGUUUUUUUUUGGUUUGGUUUGGUUUUGUUUUGUUUUUUGUUUCUUUCUUACAGAGAGCAGUCAGUGUCAGGCUGGCCAGUCAGGAAAAGGGGCUGGGACCCCAGGAGGGCUCCCAGGGUGGGACAGACUGAACACGUUGGUGGAGCUGGUGCUGGUAAAGGGGGCCCAUCUGCAGUUCCAGACACAGCAAGUGAUGAAACAGCUCCAGGGGCAUCCGUGGGCUCCUGGCAGGAGCAAAAGCACACAGAGGCAGAGACAGGGCUGGGGCACAUGUCCAAGGGGCCCUUUCAGCACAUGGGCUACCUACAGUAGGUAUCCAAGGACCAGCUGCAGGCAGAGGUGCAGCCCAGCACGGCUCAGACCAGAACCAGCACUUCAGGGCUGACCCAAAAUGCUCCUGUGAGCCCGAGAUGGGUGAGAGCCCCCGCCAGGCUCUUUGUGGAGGUUAAGUCUUCUCAAUGCCUUCAGGCCCCGGACAAUUUUAUGGCUUUCACAACCCUUUGACUGUUUGCCACUGCUGCUUUUGAUUCUUGAAAACCUCAUCCUCUCCUUGAAAUGUGACAGAAAAAGCAGAAGUGAAGAAUUAAAACCAGCUGUCCUAUUUCAGGUGACACGUGACAUCUUUUCCCUUCUCCCCAUGACACAGUCAUGAAGGAUACUUGUCUCAGCAGAGGUCUUUUAGGAGUAUUUAUAGAAAAGUCAGAAUCUGAUCCUUUAAAUCUCUACUAGGACUCUAAAAUAAAGACAUUGAACACCUUUUUAAGAUUUUAAAAUAGAUAAAUAGAACAAUUUAAAAUGUAAUAUUUGAAGUGAGAGACCUUUAACCUGAAAUUAAUAUCCCAAAGACCUCUAAGAUUCUACAGAAUCUCUCUUAUAAGCAUGUAAAAAUAGCAACACUGACUGAAUAGGUGAGAUUUCAGUGUGAAUUUGCUCCUGCUGGUUGCAAUCUCUAAAGCCUUUAUCAGAUAUAGCAAA